AGAACGAACGCUGGCGGCAUGCCUAACACAUGCAAGUCGAACGCUUCCUGGGCUUCGGUCGCGGAGGAGUGGCGCACGGGUGAGUAGCGCGUGGGAACCUGCCCUGUUGUGGGGGAUAACCGAGGGAAACUUCGGCUAAUACCGCAUACGCCCCGGGACUUGGUCUUCGGAUUAGGUCUGGGGGGAAAGAUUGAUCGCAGCAGGAGGGGCUCGCGUCGGAUUAGCUGGUUGGUGGGGUAACGGCUCACCAAGGCGAUGAUCCGUAGCUGGUCUGAGAGGAUGAUCAGCCACACUGGGACUGAGACACGGCCCAGACUCCUACGGGAGGCAGCAGUGGGGAAUAUUGGACAAUGGGGGCAACCCUGAUCCAGCAAUGCCGCGUGAGUGAUGAAGGCCUUAGGGUUGUAAAGCUCUUUCGCCCGCGACGAUGAUGACGGUAGCGGGAGAGAGCCCGGCUAACUCGCGCCAGCAGCCGCGGU
rnacentral:rRNA from 1 species